GUCACAGUUACAGGCCAAACCACUAGCCUCACAAGAGAUGGGGUUCCUCAAUUACGGAAAGGGAAACAAAAUAUUAUGCUGUUUGUCUGUUGCCCUUUCCGCAGCUGACCCGCUGUUGAUUUUGCUGUGUUCAGAUUGCAGCUCCAUGCUUUUCUUGCAUUCACACACAUUAAGUGACGCAAAGGAGUCAGAGAGCAAGUGAUUGCAGCCCUGAAGCCCUGCCCUCAUCCACUGCCAGCGCCACCGUCGUCCCUCACCAACCCUACGGCGAGCCCUUUCCACUGCGCUCCAACCUCUGCUCCAAUGCUCACCAAGUAAAAGCAACAGGGCAAGGUGGCGCAGUGCAGUGACUGCGUAGGGAACUAUGCAUAAACGACAGAGGGGACUUGCUUUCUGAGGGUCAAUGAUCGAAGAUUUCAAGCUGGCUGACCCACUCAAGUGCCAGGGCGACUAUAUAAGCAUAGUGGCACUGAUUACUGUUGUCUAGGAAUAUUCUCCUCUUUAACGGUUCAAUCUGAGUUAUGAUGUCUGCGGCUUCAUUUGGCAAUGAUAAAUCACCUGACUUGGUCACAGUGAAAGCCGAGGAGAAAGUCAGCUGGGAUUGGGGUACCGCGCCGAAUUCUAGAAGUGACGUGAUCUGACGUCUCAAGGGAAUCAUUUGGUGCGGGCAAUGCAACAUGUUCGGAGAAGGUAUGGUUGGCAUGAGGAUUGGAACUGGAUGCUUUGCGUUAGAGAACAAAGCUCAUGCAUCUAUAGUGAUGGAACUUGACUCGGAUUAGCUCCUAAUAAUGGUGCAUCAAAGGAGAACUCCAAUGACUACUUCCUUUAUUCUUGAGAUCAUCAAGUGGUAAAAAAUUAAACCAGUUUUCUUUGCAACUUGAGAAGGUCGAGAUGGGUUGGUAGUGAUGGUCGUGUUACAGAGCUCUUUUAGAAGCUACUGGACAUGCAAGUUUGGUGUUUUGCUUGAAAGUUGAAACCCACUGAAUGUAUGCACGAGGGAACCCCUCGCUUUGUCCAUAGUGUGAGCUAUGAGAACUGAAGUAUCUUUCGUAGACCGUCGGCCUCAGUUGUCCAUCAUCUAAUAUGCUAAGGCUGCCAGGUUAUGUC